UUUAUGAUCAAGCUACAAAGGGUUUAUAAUGGAUGACUUGGCAGACACAGGCGAUGAAGGACGUGGUCAGCUGCGAUAAGCUUCGGGGAGCCGCAAAUAGGCUUUGAUCCGGAGAUCUCCGAAUGGGACAACCCAACCGGGCUCAUACCCGGUUACCCCGCCUUGAAUAAAAUAGAAGCGGGGAGCUAAACGAGGCGAAUUGAAACAUCUAAGUAGCCUUUAGGAAAAGAAACCGAAUGGGAUUCUCUUAGUAGCGGCGAGCGAAGAGAGAACAGGCUAAAUCCCGACGUUCACGUCGGGAGGUUGCGGGACUUCAAUGUGGUACGCAAUGAGAUAGCAGAGGUGUUUGAAAAAACACGCCAUAGAGUGUGAGAGCCACGUAUGCGAAAUCUCAAAGCGGCCUAGAAGGAUCCCAAGUACUGCCGGGCACGGGAAAUCUGGCAGGAAUCUGGCCCGACCAUGGGCUAAGCCUAAAUACUCGGUCUGACCGAAAGGGAACAAGUACCGUGAGGGAAAGUUGAAAAGAACCCCGGGAGGGGAGUGAAAUAGAACCUGAAAUUAUAAACCUACAAGCUGUCGAAGGCCUAUGCCCCGCCGCAAGGCGGGGAAUGGUUAACGGCGUACCUUUUGCAUAAUGGACCAACGAGUUAUUAUGUGUUGCAAGCUUAAGUCCCUUCUGGGACGCAGGCGCAGGGAAACCGAGUCUGAACAGGGCGACCAAGUAGCACAUAAUAGACCCGAAACCACGUGAUCUACCCAUGGCCAGGUUGAAGUCCCGCGAAAGCGGGAUGGAGGACCGAACGCAUGAUCGUUGAAAAGAUUCGCGAUGAGCUGUGGGUCGGAGUGAAAGGCUAGUCAAACGUGGCAAUUGCUGGUUCUCCCCGAAAUAGUUCUAGGACUAGCUUCGAGGAAUUACUAAGCGGGGGUAGAGUUACUGAAUAGGCUAGGGGCCUUACCGGGCCGCCAAACCUAACCAAACUCCAAAUACCGCUUAUUUGUAUCUCGGAAGUCAGAGCAAGAGGGCUAAGCUUCUUGCUCGAGAGGGAAACAGCCCAGACCAUCGAUUAAGGUCCCUAAUAUAAGCUAAGUGGUAAAGGAAGUGAGAUCACACAGACAGCCAGGAUGUUGGCUUAGAGGCAGCCAUCAUUUAAAGAGUGCGUAACAGCUCACUGGUCGAGUGAUUUCGCGCCGAAAAUGAUCGGGGCUCAAGCUUAUAACCGAAGUCAUGGCUUUGUUUAUCUUCGGAUAAACAAGGGGUAGGGGAGCGUAGUGCUAAGCGUUGAAGGCAUACCGAGAGGAAUGCUGGAGUAAGCACUAGUGAUACUGUUGGUAUGAGUAGCGAAAACUACAGCGAGAAACUGUAGCACCGAAAAUCUAAGGUUUCCUGGGGAAGGUUAAUCCGCCCAGGGUUAGUCGAUCCUAAGGUGAGGCCGAAAGGCGUAAUCGAUGGAGAUCAGGUUAAUAUUCCUGAACCGAUGACGAACGUUAUCACCUUGAUGUGACGCAGGAGGCUAGGCCGUGCGCAGUGUUGGAUGUCUGCGUCCAAAGCCGUAGUCCCGCCGAAAGGCGGGAUAAGAGCCUAUGGGGACCUCAAUCGCAAGUGCGAGGGAAGCGGCCCAUGCCAAGCUGCCGAGAAAAACCAUCAAGGGAGUCUCGUGGUCGCUCGUACCGGAAUCCGACACAGGUAGAUAGGCAGAAUAUGCCAAGGUGCUCGAGAGAAUCCUCCUUAAGGAACUAGGCAAAAUCACCCCGUAACUUCGGGAGAAGGGGUGUCCCGAUCUUGUAAGCUAUCACAGCUGAAGGGAUCGGGAUCACAGUAAAGAGGCCCGGGUGACUGUUUAGUAAAAACACAUCACUCUGCUAACUCGAAAGAGAACGUAUAGGGUGUGACACCUGCCCGGUGCUGGAAGGUUAAGGGGAGAGGUUAAUCCCGCGCAAGCGGGAUGAAGCUUCGAACUGAAGCCCCAGUAAACGGCGGCCGUAACUAUAACGGUCCUAAGGUUUCGUGGAAACGCUAGCCUUAGUAAAACUGAACCAUAUGCGGGAAGACCCUCAAAAACCGUGCUGUACUCGUCUGAGAAUAUUCAGGCAGUAAAAAUCAGCCGGACACGGGGAUAAUCCGCAGGGAAGGCUUCCAGAAAGGAGUAUCUUAUGGAAGAACCCUCAGAGACUUUACGUUCAGCACCUGCUUCUAAUCUUGAUGCGCAAUGGAUUGUCGGGUUUGUGGAUGGCGAAGGUUGUUUCUUCGUCGGAAUCAACAAGCAUCCCGAUAUGACUUGCGGCUAUCAAGUGCUUCCGGAAUUCACGGUCGUUCAACAUGAAAAAGAUGUCCAAAUACUUCACGCUUUAAAGAAGUUUUUUGGAUGCGGUGUGGUCCGUUCAAACCAUGGUGAUCGGAUGGCGUAUCGGGUUCGAGAUAUCAGCCAUUUGAAUGAAAUCAUCAUUCCGUUUUUUGAAGGACAUUCACUGAAGACCAAAAAGAACUUAGAUUUUAUAAAGUUCAGAAAAGUCAUCAUGUUGAUGGACCGUAAAGAGCACUUGACCGCGCAAGGCAUUGAGAAGAUCAAAGACAUUGCGUCGAUCAUGAAUAGAGGCUGUGAAGAUAAAGUCCAACCUUGUUAGAAAUAGCUGGGAUCAAUUGAGCGAAAUUCCUUGUGGGGUAAGUUCCCACGCGCACGAAUGGUGUAACAACUUGGGCGCUGUCUCGAGGAGGAACUCGGCGAAAUUGUAGCGGCGGUGAAGAUGCCGUCUACCCGCACCAAGACGAAAAGACCCCAGAACCUUUACUGCAUUCUGGUAUUGGAUUUGGAUUUUGACUGUGUAGCAUAGCUGGGAGGCUGUGAAGCUCCGGCGUUAGCCGGGGUGGAGCCAUCCGUGAAAUACCAGCCCGUUGAUGUCUAGAUUCUAACUCUGUUCUGUGAAACCAGACAGGAGACAGUGCCAGAUGGGCAGUUUGACUGGGGCGGUUCCCUUCUAAAGAAUAACGAAGGGGUCCAAAGGUUCCCUCAGGACGGUCGGCAAUCGUCUGUAGAGUGCAAAGGCAUAAGGGAGCCUGACUGCGAGUCCGACAGGACGAGCAGGCACGAAAGUGGGGCUUAGUGAUCCGGUGGUUGAAUGUGGGAUUGCCAUCGCUCAACGAACAAUAGGUACUCUGGGGAUAACAGGCUGAUCGCGCUCGAGAGUUCAUAUCGACAGCGCGGAUUGGCACCUCGAUGUCGGCUCAUCCUAUCCUGGGGCUGUAUAAGGUCCCAAGGGUCCGGCUGUUCGCCGGUUAAAAGGGUACGUGAGCUGGGUUUAGAACGUCGUGAGACAGUUCGGUCUCUAUCUGGUGUGGGCGCACGAUCAUUGAAGAAAAGAUCUCCCUAGUACGAGAGGACCGGGAGAUACGAACCUCUGGUGUUCCAGUUAUCCUGCCAAGGGUAAUGGCUGGGUAGCCAUGUUCGGAAGGGAUAAGCGCUGAAUGCAUAUAAGCGCGAAGCCUAUUUCAAGAUGAAUGAUCGAUUCCCGCUUCGGCGGGAUGAAGGCACGUUGUAGACUACGACGUUGAUAGGCUGGGUGUGUAAGAUCCGUAAGGAUUUAAGCUAACCAGUACUAAUCUGCCGAAUGCUUGAUCAU
rnacentral:rRNA from 1 species